rnacentral:rRNA from 1 species
GCUGAACGAUUCUUAGGUCGCCUUGAGAAGUUGGGGUUUUACGGCAGGGGAUUAGUCCAACUAAUAGGCGAGAUAAAAAAUUACUACGUCUAGAGUGUGAACCAACUCCGCCACUAACUUUGAGGAGCUACGUUACCGUAGGCUCCCAACACUAAGCAACUAAGGCUUAAGGGUUGAAAUGACGCUCGAACGGUCCUGCCCACUAGAAUACUAAUGGGCGCAAUAUGCGUUCAAAGAUUCGAUGAUUCACUGAAUUCUGCAAUUCACAUUACUUAUCGCAUUUCGCUGCGUUCUUCAUCGAUGCCAGAACCAAGAGAUCCGUUGUUGAAAGUUUUAACUUAUUUAGUUAUAGGUUCAGAAUUCAAUAUCAAACAGAGUUUGGUGGGCCGCCGGCAGGCUUACCCGCACCUCCCGGGUAAGUCUUACAGGGUAAGACUACGAGGUAGGCGCGACCUGCCGAGGCAACGUUAGGUAUGUUCACAUGGGUUUGGGAGUUAUAGAACUCUUUAAUGAUCCCUCCGCAGGUUCACCUACGGAGGGA